rnacentral:tRNA from 1 species
AGGACUAUAGCUCAGUGGUAGAGCACCUCGUUUAC